AAUGCAGAGACUCCAGGUGGAGGAAGAAAUGCUUAUGCACAAGUAUUACGAGUUCAUGGAAGCACAAGGUUUAAUUAAAAAGAAACAAAGUAAUAACUUGAAAACAGAGGAAGAAACUGGUAAAGCUGGAGAGGUGGACUAGCCAUAAGGAAGUCAGCUGGUUCUGUAAUUUGCUGUUCAUAUUCUACAUGCUCGGCUCCAUACUUUCACAGUUGUAUUAAUCGAUGUUAGAUUAUAUGGAAUAUUCUCUAAUUUUACUCGUUUUACCCCAUUCGAGCUUCACAUUUGAAACAAGAUAGAUUGUGGUGUAUCAGAAACUGCGCUUGUAAAUAUCAGAUUGUGGUGUAUCAGAAACUGUAUUUUUACACAAAACGAGUGCAAACUAAAGGAUAUUUUAUGGAAUCUAGAAAAUCAUGUUGAAUUUGACACCA